GACGAACGCUGGCGGCGUGCUUAACACAUGCAAGUCGAACGGAAAGGCCCUGCUUGCUGGUUACUCGCGUGGCGAACGGGUGCGUAACACGUGGGUGAUCUGCCCUGCACUUCGGGAUAAGCCUGGGAAACUGGGUCUAAUACCGUACAGCAUCCAGUUUUAGGGUGAUGGUUGGAGAGUUUUUUCGGUGUUGGCUGAGCUGGCGGCCUAUCAGCUUGUUGGGGGGGUAAUGGCCUACCAAGGCGGCGACGGGUAGCCGGCCAGAGACGGUGGACGGCGACAUUGGGACUGAGAGGAGGCCGAGACUCCUAAGGGUGGCAGCAGUGGGGAAGAUUGAACAAUGGGCGCCAGCCUGAUGCAGCGAGGCCGCGUGGGGGAUGACGGCCUUCGGGUUGAAAACUCCAUUCGCUAGGAACGAAGCUUUUUGUGACGGUACCUAGAUAAGAAGCACCGGCUAACUACGUG
rnacentral:rRNA from 1 species